rnacentral:lncRNA from 1 species
GGCAUUUCUUUUCAUUCCUUUGGUGUUAUUCUACUCGGAAUAACAUCUUCUUCCUCUUCAGAAGAAGAUUAGUAUUAUGUUGGUCUUUGUGUGUUUCAUACUCUGACUUAUGAUUUUGAUUUAUCUUGAUAUAUCUUUGUGUAGGCUUUGAUGUCAGAUGUAUGGUAUUUGAUCAUAGAUGUAUCUCUGACUCUGUGUGUCUUGUGAUUUAUUAUGACUUUAGAUGUAUUUAUGACUUUAUUGAGCUAAAUGGAUAUCAAGUUUCUCUCUAGAUAUAUCUUGUGAUAUUCUUGUUGCAGUGGUAUCCCUUGUUGUCCUUCUUUUUGAUGAUGUCCAAAAAGGGGGAGAGUGUAUAUGUUUAUAUAUGUUAUCAAAAAGGAGAAGAUUGUUAUAUGUUUAUAUUAUUUUAAAUGGAGAGAUAGAAGGAGAAUUAAUGUAAUGGAGGUAAUAAUGUUUAUGUUUGUUAUGUUUUUGUGAUUGC